AUCCGGCUGACGAGUCCCGAAUAGGGACGAAACGCGCGUCCUGAAU
rnacentral:hammerhead_ribozyme from 1 species